UCGGUAAUUCCAGCUCCAAUAGCAUAUAUUAAAGUUGUUGCAGUUAAAAAGCUCGUAGUUGGAUUUGUAGCGUUUAAGCGGGCCGAGAGGAUGGUUGGACCUUUACGGUAUCCGGUUCUACGCUCUACGUUCGGUGAUUGAUUACUGGCCUUAACUGGCUGGUGGUUGGUUCCGGACUGUUUACCUUGAAUAAAUUAGAGUGCUCAAAGCAGGCUCUUUAGCCUUGAAUAGUUUAGCAUGGGAUAAUGGAAUACGAUCCCAGUCUAGUUCGUUGGUAAUCUGGACUGGGAUAAUGAUUAAUAGAGAUAGUCGGGGUUAUUCAUAUUCAAUUGUCAGAGGUGAAAUUCUUAGAUUCUUUGAAGAUGAACUGUAGCGAAAGCGUUUAACAAGGAUGCUCUCAUUAAUCAAGAACGAAAGUUAGGGGAUCGAAGACGAUCAGAUACCGUCGUAGUCUUAACUAUAAACGAUACGAAUCGAGGAUUGGAUGUUGUUAAUCGUACGACUCUUUCGGAACUUCAGGGGAAACCUUUGAAUCUUUGCGUUCUGGGGGGAGUAUGGUCGCAAGGCUGAAACUUAAAGGAAUUGACGGAAGGGCACACCAGGAGUGGAGCCUGCGGCUUAAUUUGACUCAACACGGGAAAACUUACUAGGUCAGAACAUGGUCAUGAUUGACAGAUUGAUAGCUCUUUCUUAAUUUCUAUGGGUGGUGGUGCAUGGCCGUUCUUAGUUGGUGGAGUGAUUUGUCUGGUUAAUUCCGAUAACGAACGAGAUCGCAUCCUACUAAAUAGUGGCGUUAAACAUCUAUCAUGGGUGAAGGCUGCUUGAGUCGGAGGACUGGGAGACUGGCUCCUUCGGACAGGUGGUUGGAUCCUUGAUGAAUUGGCGUCAACAUACUUCUUAGAGGGACUGUCGGUGAUUAACCGAAGGAAGUGCGGCAAUAACAGGUCUGUGAUGCCCUUAGAUGUCCUAGGCCGCACGCGCGCUACACUGUCUCGUACAAUGAGUUACUUGCUGGUCCGAAGGUACUGGCGAAUCUUGUGAAUGCUUGACGUGAUGGGGAUUGAUCAUUGAAAUUAUUGGUCAUGAACGAGGAAUUCCUUGUAGGUAUGCUUCAUCAAAGCAUGCCGACUACGUCCCUGCCCUUUGUACACACCGCCCGUCGCUCCUACCGAUUGAGUGAUCAGAUGAAAUCCGCGGAUUUGAACUUGGUCCGCCUUGUCCGAAGAAGUAGAGUAAAUCUUAUUGCUUAGGGGAAGGAGAAGUCGUAACAAGGUAGCCGU
rnacentral:rRNA from 1 species